GACGAACGCUGGCGGCGUGCUUAACACAUGCAAGUCGAACGGUAAGGCCCUUCGGGGUACACGAGUGGCGAACGGGUGAGUAACACGUGGGUGAUCUACCCUGCACUUCGGGAUAAGCCUGGGAACCUGGGUCUAAUACCGGAUAGGACCACUGCCUGCAUGGGUGGGGGUGGACAGCUUUUGCGGUGUGGGAUGGGCCCGCGGCCUAUCAGCUUGUUGGUGGGGUGAUGGCCUACCAAGACGACGCCGGGUAGCCGGCCUGAGAGGGUGACCGGCCACACUGGGACUGAGAUACGGCCCAGACUCCUACGGGAGGCAGCAGUGGGGAAUAUUGCACAAUGGGCGCAAGCCUGAUGCAGCGACGACGCGUGAGGGAUGACGGCCUUCGGGUUGUAAACCUCUUUCAGCACCGACGAAGCGAAAGUGACGGUAGGUGCAGAAGAAGGACCGGCCAACUACGUGCCAGCUGCCGCUGUAA
rnacentral:rRNA from 1 species